AUCCGUGCAGCCACUAGUGCAUGCGUGCUGCCGGAGGUCUGCGCCGGCCCCAUUGACUAUAUUGGUGGCGGCCCAGAGGUCCAGCGGCAGCACGGAAAACAUGCCAAGAGGCAGCCGGAAUAAAAUUAUUACAUGCAGCUAGUGUUAAAC